rnacentral:rRNA from 1 species
GAGUUUGUAUCAUGGCUCAGGAUGAACGCUAGCGGCAGGCUUAACACAUGCAAGUCGAGGGGCAGCAUAAUGGAUAGCAAUAUCUAUGGUGGCGACCGGCGCACGGGUGCGGUAACGCGUAUGCAACCUACCUUUAACAGGGGGAUAACACUGAGAAAUUGGUACUAAUACCCAAUAAUAUCAUAGAAGGUCAUCUUUUAUGGUU